rnacentral:piRNA from 1 species
CUAUGAGAGCCUGACAGACCCUUCCA